rnacentral:rRNA from 1 species
GACGAACGCUGGCGGCGUGCCUAAUACAUGCAAGUCGAACGCAGUGGGGACGGGUGAGUAACACGCGGGUAACCUCCGAUCAGAGCGGAUAAAACUUGGAAACAGGUGCUAAACCGAUACUGAUGGAUGAACCCGCGGUGCAUUAGCUAGUGGGUGAGGUAACGGCACACCAAGGCCACGAAGCAUAGACGACCUGCGAGGGUGAUCGGCAACAAUGGGACUGAGACACGGCCCAGACUCCUACGGGAGGAAGCAUUAGGGAAACUUCGGCAAUGGACGAAAGUCUGACCGAGCAACUCCGCUUGAUUGAAGAAGGUUUUCGGAUGGUAAAACUCUGUUGUUAGAGAAGCGGUAUCUAACCAGAAAGCCACGGCUAACUACGUGCCAGCAGCCGCGGUAAUAC